GACGAACGCUGGCGGCGUGCUUAACACAUGCAAGUCGAACGGAAAGGCCCUGCUUUUGUGGGGUGCUCGAGUGGCGAACGGGUGAGUAACACGUGAGUAACCUGCCCUUGACUUUGGGAUAACUUCAGGAAACUGGGGCUAAUACCGGAUAGGAGCUCCUGCUGCAUGGUGGGGGUUGGAAAGUUUCGGCGGUUGGGGAUGGACUCGCGGCUUAUCAGCUUGUUGGGGGGGUAGUGGCUUACCAAGGCUUUGACGGGUAGCCGGCCUGAGAGGGUGACCGGCCACCUUGGGACUGAGGUACGGCCCAGACUCGUACGGGGGGCAGCAGUGGGGAAUAUUGCACAGUGGGCGGAAGCGUGAUGCAGCAACGCCGCGUGCGGGAUGACGGCCUUCGGGUUGUAAACCGCUUUCGCCUGUGACGAAGCGUGAGUGACGGUAAUGGGUAAAGAAGCACCGGCUAACUACGUG
rnacentral:rRNA from 1 species